AGAGUUUGAUCCUGGCUCAGGAUGAACGCUAGCGGCAGGCUUAACACAUGCAAGUCGAGGGGCAGCACGGGUAGCAAUACUUGGUGGCGACCGGCGCAAGGGUGCGUAACGCGUGAGCAACAUGCCCGUAUCAGGGGGAUAAUCCAUGGAAACGUGGUCUAAUACCCCAUAGUAAGUUUUUGGGGCAUCUCAAAGAUUUUAAAGCUUUGGUGGAUACGGAUUGGCUCGCGUGACAUUAGCUAGAUGGUAAGGUAACGGCUUACCAUGGCUACGAUGUCUAGGGGUUCUGAGAGGAAGGUCCCCCACACUGGAACUGAGACACGGUCCAGACUCCUACGGGAGGCAGCAGUGAGGAAUAUUGGACAAUGGAUGGAAAUCUGAUCCAGCCAUGCCGCGUGCAGGAAGACGGCCCUAUGGGUUGUAAACUGCUUUUGUAUGGGAGCAAUAAGGGCUACGUGUAGUCCGAUGAGAGUACCAUACGAAUAAGCACCGGCUAACUCCGUGCCAGCAGCCGCGGUAAUACGGAGGGUGCAAGCGUUAUCCGGAUUUAUUGGGUUUAAAGGGUGCGUAGGCGGUUUGAUAAGUCAGCGGUGAAAUAUUUCAGCUUAACUGGAAGGGUGCCGUUGAUACUGUCGAGCUUGAAUUUAGUUGCUGUGGGUGGAAUGUGUGGUGUAGCGGUGAAAUGCAUAGAUAUCACACAGAAUAUCGAUUGCGAAGGCAGCUCACAAAGCUAAUAUUGACGCUGAUGCACGAAAGUGUGGGGAUCAAACAGGAUUAGAUACCCUGGUAGUCCACACUGU
rnacentral:rRNA from 1 species